AUAUGCCCAGCUUCAACCUCUCCAAUACCGUCAAUCUUUGCCUUAGAAUGCCCUUGUAUUAGGAUUUUACCCCUGAAUGUAUCCUGUUGGUUCAUGAGCUUGCUCCAUUCACUCAUGUAGUUUGGAUUGCAAGUGUAAUCUGUCAUCUUCUCCAUUUGAAUGAUUUCUGUAACCCAACCGAUAGACUGCUCUUUCAUUUUUGAUAUAAGAUUUUGGCCUGCUCGUCUGGUAGAUGACUGAAGCUGGUGGUAAUUCUCAGAGUGAUGCAUCAAAACAGACACUACCACAUUUUCAAUGUAAGCCCAUAUUUUUUCAACGAAAUCGAUAGGCAUUCUUGAUAUCCCAUCAACUUUUUUCUGCAGAAUACUCAGGAGGGCACUGUGAGGAAGGAAAUUUGGCAGUUUAAUCCCUUUGGAUUCCUCGAGAAGACGAAUCUCCUCCACUAGGAAGUUUCUUGUAGGGUCACUUUCAGAGCACUUAUGAAGUUCAUUCGAGUAAAGGUUGAGCAUUUCAACCAAUCUAGCUGUACAAUGCAUUUGAUGAUCAUUAAGGUACUCAUCAAACUCUCCUCUGAUAAGGAUUUUCCUGAGAGACUCCUUGGCCGAUCCAACAAUGCCCAUGAAAGCUGUCAUGGCUUCAGCAGGUGAGGAAGGGGUCCUAGGCAUCUUAUUCAGCUCUGAAAUGCUUGCGUUCAGCUUUUCAUUAAUGUUUCUCGCUAUAUCUGGCAAGCACUUGGCUAUGAUAGUUGCUUGAAUUUGAGUCAGUUUUUGAGCCAGAACUGGAAUACCCACCAUAGAUUUAUCAAUCCUGGAGAGAAGUGGAUGAUUUUUGAACAAUUGAGCUUCUUCCUUUCGCGCAUCCUCAAAAGAUUCAUCACCAAUUCGAUUCUUCACACAAACAUAACCCAGGCCUAUAUUCACAUCAUCUGCAGCAACCUUCUCAAGCAGCCCUUCAGGUGCCUUGUCAGACUUGGUGACCACGGCAAGAGUUCUCUCACCAGUCUUGUCCACUUGCUGUGACAUCCUAAUGGAUUCACAAGUGGGAAAAUCCACAGUUGCAGAUAAAACAUUAAGAAUGAUACUCUCUUCAGGCCUUAUAUACUCCAUGAUAAUACCUGCAAUCUGCUCGUAAAUAUCGGCGGGCUGACCAUGAACAGGGACUCUAGUGAUUCCAGGGAGAUCAAUCAUUGUAAGAUCAGGAACACCUUUCUUUUUCACAACCAGAGUUAAUGGAGUGUUUGAUAUGCCCUUUCCAUCGCCUGCAAUCUCAUCGGUGGCGACAUUAAUUGCAUCGGCAACGCGGGCUUCAUCAGUGUGUACUAUUUUGCCAUUGAACUCCAAGAAAAGCUCUGAUGUGAGAGAUGGGUGGUGCUGCAGCCUCAUUACGAGGGGCACUCUGGUGCAAAUGCCCUGGCCACGAGGAAGGUUGAUACCGGCUAGUGAUUCAAGAACGCUGGAUUUGCCGGAAGAUUGAUCCCCAACAACAACGAUGGUGGGAAGCUG
rnacentral:misc_RNA from 1 species